ACCCUCCUAACAGCUAGCCCCCUCUUUAAAAACAACAAACCCCAUUAAUAACCCCCCACAUAUUACCCAAACAAACAACAAACCAUUUUUCCUCCCUAGUAUGGGCGACAGAAAAG
rnacentral:rRNA from 1 species